UUACCUGGUCUUGACAUCCACAGAACUUUGCAGAGAUGGAUUGGUGCCUUCGGGAACUGUGAGACAGGUGCUGCAUGGCUGUCGUCAGCUCGUGUUGUGAAAUGUUGGGUUAAGUCCCGCAACGAGCGCAACCCUUAUCCUUUGUUGCCAGCGGUUAGGCCGGGAACUCAAAGGAGACUGCCAGUGAUAAACUGGAGGAAGGUGGGGAUGACGUCAAGUCAUCAUGGCCCUUACGACCAGGGCUACACACGUGCUACAAUGGCAUAUACAAAGAGAAGCGACCUCGCGAGAGCAAGCGGACCUCAUAAAGUAUGUCGUAGUCCGGAUUGGAGUCUGCAACUCGACUCCAUGAAGUCGGAAUCGCUAGUAAUCGUAGAUCAGAAUGCUACGGUGAAUACGUUCCCGGGCCUUGUACACACCGCCCGUCACACCAUGGGAGUGGGUUGCAAAAGAAGUAGGUAGCUUAACCUUCGGGAGGGCGCUUACCACUUUGUGAUUCAUGACUGGGGUGAAGUCGUAACAAGGUAACCGUAGGGGAACCUGCGGUUGGAUCACCUCCUUACCUUAAAGAA
rnacentral:rRNA from 1 species